rnacentral:rRNA from 1 species
CUGGUGCCAGCAGCCGCGGUAAUUCCAGCUCCAAUAGCGUAUAUUAAAGUUGUUGCAGUUAAAAAGCUCGUAGUUGAAUUUUAGGCCUGGCCGGGCGGUCCGUCUUUGGCGAGUACUGUCCUGUGUCGGGUCCACCUUCUGGUGAACCAGUAUGUCCUUAAUUGGGUGUGCCGGGGAGCCAGGACCAUUACCUUGAAAAAAUUAGAGUGUUUAAAGCAGGCAUUUGCUUGAAUAGAUUAGCAUGGAAUAAUAGAAUAGGACGUUGUGGUUCUAUUUUGUUGGUUUCUAGGACCACCGUAAUGAUUAAUAGGGAUAGUUGGGGGCAUUAGUAUUCAAUUGUCAGAGGUGAAAUUCUUGGAUUUAUUGAAGACUAACUAUUGCGAAAGCAUUUGCCAAGGAUGUUUUCAUUAAUCAAGAACGAAAGUUAGGGGAUCGAAGACGAUCAGAUACCGUCGUAGUCUUAACCAUAAACUAUGCCGACUAGGAAUCGGGCGAC